UGACUUUUAGUCUCUAUUAAAAAUAUUGAUUUUUAGUUUCUAUAGAAUUACUUUUACACGCAACUUUAGUCUCUGUAAAGAAUUAAAACCGCGUACAAAAAUAAUUUUAUAAAAAUUAAAAAUUAAUAUUUUUUUAUAAGGAUUAAAAGUCAAAUGUGAUAAUUUUAUAAUAUUUAAUCUUUCAUUAAUUAUGAUUUUCCCACAUGACUAAGUUAUAUCCAUAUUAUUUAGGAUGAAAGACUAAGAUAUCUUUUCUUAAUUGUGUGGGGAAAUCUAAGGCACACGUAAAUUUUGGCCUAGGAAAUAUCUUACUAAAUUUUUAAUCAGUUGAGUUAUGGUAAAAGUCUCUCAAGCGUGAGAAGGUAACAAUGAAUUAUAGGGUGAAUUAGAAUAAUUAUUUUCUAUUAUUUCUACUAUCUCUCUCUAACAAUUUUGUUAAAACUUAUUUUUAUAUUAAACCAACGAUUAAAAAUGUUAAAAAUAAUUUCAACACAAUUCAAACCAUUUUUGGUCACAUCUUUUUUUUUUGAUAAACAAUGAUCUUUUAUAUAAACAGAGCCAAACAGUGGAGAGAAUUAGAAGUUCUCAACCAGUUACAGACAUAAACAAGCCUUUCCAACUAGCAAACACCUAAGCACCUUAAUACUACAUAUAAUCUAGAGGAGAAUGACUCCAUUCAUAAAAAUUACAGUAGAUUUUCUGUUUGUUACCAAUUGCUAACCACCACCAUGUAAACAUUUUCACAUUGUGAACAAUUUCAUCUAAGUCAACAACACCAUUGUUGAAUAUCAAACAGUUUCGUUGUUUCCAUAUACACCAACAAACUGUCACCCAAAUCACUCCCACCCUCCUCUUUGCGCAGCUCCUUUUCAACACUCCCACCAUAUGCAGAAAAUCUUCGCAACAUGCAGUGUGAGCAUGCUGGACAAUCCCAAGCUAUCAUCAUUUAUUCUCUCCAUCUCGAAGGAGAAACAAUUUUUAUAUGGACACAACCAUAUACAUAGAUUUACACACAACCAAUUAUAUUUUUUAUUAAUUAAAAAACUAAAAUAAAAUUAUUUCUCUCUAUUAAACUAACCACCCUCUAUGAUAGUAAUUAAAAACGGAAAUAAUUUUUUUUAAUAAAUAUCAAUUUUCUCACUUUUAAUUAGUUAUGCCUAAAAAUAUGGAUUUAGGUUCGUAUCCAUGCAAGUAUUUUUCAUUGAAGAAGUGUGUUGAAAUUUUAAUAUAAUAUGAUUAAUUAGGAUCCUUGGAAUUUAUGAAGGUAUUGCAAUCUAAUUUUAAUUAUACCUCUCAAAAUUUGCUUGUUUCAAACGUUUCGUUUAUAAUAAAGAUGUUUAUAUUCUGAAGUAAGAAAAAACUCAAGUUCAACCUUUGGUGCAUGUGUAGUAAAUUAUGUAAUUUUAAAAUAGAACAAACAAUUUCUUGUGCGUGUGAAAAUAUAGAAAUUAAGAGUUUAAUUAUAACAAGGAAUAAGAGAGAAACUUGAAAUAAUGUAUUCCUGAAAUAUUAGAAUGAAUUCUAACAACCAUCAAGAGACAUUUGAAGAAAUGUAAUUUUUCACAGUAUAAAAUAAAUAUAUAAAUGUAUACUUCAAAAUGCAUAAGAUCAGAGAACAUAUGGCACAAAUUCUUAAGUUUGUUAGUGUCAUAAUUAUUUUUCUUUUCGAAUUCGUUGUUGUAAUGGAUGGUAUCAUUGUAACAGAUGGAGCUGUUAAAUGCUGGUCUGAUGGAGAAUGUCGUAAAGCAAUGCCGGAUUGCACUCUUCCUAAACGUCCAAGGUGUAUAUCAGGGAUAUGUCAUUGUGUGUCAUAGUAGGAAUAAAGUUCAAAAAUAAUUUCAUGUAUUUGCAACUCUAAUAUUGAUGCUUUUUAAUUCUCUCAAAGUUCAAUCUAUUUCUAUUUUAUCUGAACCUUAAAAUAAA